UGGCGCGACUCACAUAAUUCGCUCAGGCCACGUAGUGUCGUCUCGUCUAAGAUAGGUACUGAGAAUGCACGCACACGAUGCUGUACGAUGAUAUUCGAACAUGGCCGUUGCGCGCGUGUAACGUGGCUGGUAUGAUAGGAGAGCAUGACGAGGAAAGAGUCGCCUAACGACCGCGCAGCUUUGCCCGCACAUAGUUGCAUGCCGCCUAUAUUCGUGUGCACGUGUGCAGCGACACUUCAUGCGCGCGCACGUGACCUGACACUUAGCGGCGCGCACAGUCUUUUCUUUCGAUUACACGUCAAAUUGAAUCUCGGCAUUGCACAUACUAGACUGUACAUAGUAUGUAUAUUGUUCUGUUUUCUAUUUUUCUACGUCAUGCUUACGAUGCACUCGAUACAAUGUGACAUUUCGAAUACGCUUUCAGCGAGUUGUCUUAAUUUUCGAUGUCGAUAUUUCAUGAUAUUGGUUUUGAUUAGAGGUUAUGUUUAACAAAGUGAAAAAAUAUGUUAUAAUAUGUGUUUUUUUUACUUGAUUCCUACAAAAAAUAGCUAGAAAUAUAGGUAGAAAAAGCUUUUUAUAAUGGUACUGAACAGAAGAAAUAAAUUUUGAAUAGAAUAUAGAUAUUCCGAUUUAUAUUAAAAUAUAUGUUAAUCGAAUAACGGAUUGAAUAAAUAUAAUCGAUAAAUUGUUUUGAUCGAUCGCGAAAAGCUUUCAAUCAUUCAAUUGGAAUCGAAAUGAUUCGCGUCGCGAUACGUUAACGAUCACGGAUGUGAUUCGACGGUAUCGAUCGAACUGGGAGACCGGGAUAAUUGACUGUAACGUUUGAUCGACGCGAUUGAAUUUUCUGAGUGGGUGAAGAGAACGGGAGAGGAGAAUGCGCAGGCGGCGAAACGGUGAGAGAAUUCUUGAGCGUGUACGAACGUCGACCUCUUAUAAAAGCUAUACGCCGUUUCCUGAUCGGGACCGUUUAAUGGAUCAAGAAGACAGCACCGUGCGACCGGACACACCGUAGAUUCGGCCUUCGUGUAGUCGUGUCACCGUUCGUAAUUGGUAAUUGCCAGGGCCACGACUUGCAAAUGGCUACUUUUGACCGCGGCCAGACAG